GGGGAGGUCGCAUAGUUGGCCUAGUGCGGCGGUUUGCUAAACCGCUAGGGGGGCAACCCCCUCGAGGGUUCGAAUCCCUCCCUCCCCGCCA
rnacentral:tRNA from 1 species